UCCUACGGGGGGGCAGCAGUGGGGAAUAUUGCCCAAUGAGGGAAAGCUUGAUGCAGCCAUACCGGGUGUGUGAAGAAGGCCCGAGGGUUGUAAAGCACUUUCAAUUGUGAGGAAGGUUCAGUAGUUAAUACCUGCUGUUCUUGACGUUAACUUUAGAAGAAGCACCGGCUAAAUUUGUGCCAGCAGCCGCGGUAAUACAGAGGGUGCAAGCGUUAUUUGGAAUUACUGGGGGUAAAGCGCGCGUAGGCGGAAUAUUAAGUCAGUUGUGAAAGCCCCGGGCUCAACCUUGGAACUGCCUUUGAUAAUGGUAUUCUAGAGUUUAGUAGAGGGAAGGGGAAUUCCUAGUGUAGCAGUGAAAUGCGUAGAUAUUAGGAGGAACAUCAGUGGGGAAGGGGCCUUCCUGGACUAAAACUGACGGUGAGGUGCGAAAGCGUGGGUAGCGAACCGGAUUAGAUACCCCGGUAGUUCCCCCCGUAAAAGAUGUCAAAUAGUUGUUGGCCUUAUUAAAAAGGUUAGUAACGCAGCUAACGCGAUAAGUGACCGCAUUGG
rnacentral:rRNA from 1 species